UUUUGCAAAUCUAAUGGACGGAUUUGAACCAGCUACCUAAGGAUCAUUGUUGACAAUACAUCUAUAGUCCUCCGCUCUGCCAACUGAGCUAUCUA